GAGCUCAGUUGGCAGAGCGUGAGACUCUCAAUCGAAGGGCAGUGGGUUCGAGCCCUGUGUUAGGCA